rnacentral:sRNA from 1 species
AUUUAUAUUAUAAAAUCUGGGUUUUAAGACGAACUUUAUCCUAAAAAGAACAAUGGUACUUUGACCCAUUGUCUUGUUUCUUUCAUCGAAGGUCUUUCUUUGGGCUUUCUAAAAAGGUAUUACAUGCCAAGUUCGGCCUCACGGUCUAAAAGCUGUCAAGUCAUAUAGUUUUAACCAAAAAAAAAAGAGAGAUGCAACACGAGGACUUCCCGGGAGGUCAGCCAUCCUAGUACUACUCUCGCCCAAACACGCUUAACUGCGGAUAUCUGACGGGAUCCGGUGCAUUAGUACCUAAAGGUCAAUGUAGAAAACACAUCCACUAUAAAUAUGAAGGUUCUUGGUUUAUAGUUUUCUUUGUUUUCAUGUUCAUCGCUUUAAACCAUGUU